UAUUAAUUGAGUUUGAUGAUGGCUCUGAUUGAACGCUGUCCAAAGGCUUGACACAUGCUAAUCAUACGGCAUUUUUAUUACUAUAAUUUUGUUAUAAAUCAUAACUUAGGCGUAGUAAGAAAAUGAAGUGGUGUAAAGGUGAGUAUAUAAUAAUUUGUCAACCUUAAAGUAAGGAAAAAAAAAUUCCUUAUAAAGUAUUUGAUACUGGAUAAAAGUUGACCAUACAAAAGAAAAUAAUUUUCGCUUUAAGAUGCUCAAUUAUUUCCGAGUAAGUGGUAGUUAAGGUAAUGACUUAACUAGCUUAAGCUCGUAGUCGAAACUGAAAGGUUUAUCGACCACAUUGGGUCUGAAAAAACCCCAAUACGUCUAGUACAGCAGUGAGGAAUAUUGGUCAAUGGCCUAACGGCCGAACCAGCCAUUUGGAGGAAUGUGAUACUUUGUGCUUUUAAUGUAAUGUAUCUAAUUUAACGGCUAUGCCGUAUAUAGUUCUAGAUAGAUGAUUGAUAAUGACAGUUUUCUAUCUAUAGGUCUUGACCAAAUCUUGUGCCAGCAGUCGCGGCAAUACAAGUAAGACUAGUGUUAUUCAUCUUUAUUAGGUUUAAAGGGUACCUAGACGGUAUUUCUAGCCCCAAAAGGGAACAGAUUUACUAGAGUUUUAUGUGAGAGGUAAAUAUUAGAACCAUUGGAGUAGAGAUGAAAUUUUAUUAUACUAAUGGGACGGGUAACGGCGAAAGCAAGCCUUUAUGUAAUAACUGACGUUGAGGGACGAAGGCUUAGGUAGCGAAUAGGAUUAGAUACCCUAGUAGUCCUAGCAGAGAAUUAUGAAUGUUAUAGAUUAAAAUUAUUUGGUGUAUAAAUGAAAGUGUAAGCAUUCCACCUCAAGAGUAAUGCGGCAACGCAGGAACUGAAAUCAUUAGACCGUUUCUGAAACCAGUAGUGAAGUAUGUUGUUUAAUUCGAUAAUCCUCGAAAAACCUUACCACAAAUUGAAUGAUAUAGUAUUACUAGGGUAAUACUUAUAUUACAAGUGUUGCACGGCUGUCUUUAGUUAAUGUCGUGAGACCUUGGUUAGAUCCAUUAAAUUAACGUAAAACCCUUGCUUUAUUUAAUAAUACAUAGAGUACUUUUCCAAAAAUUAUUGGAAAUAAAAGGGAUUAAGUCAAGUCAUCAUGACCUUAAUAUUGUGGGCUAUGGACGUGCCACAUAUGUUUGUACAAAAGGAGGCGAAAAUGCGAAUUUUAGCUAAUCCUUAAAACAGAAUAUAAUAUGGAUUGUAGUCUGAAAUUCGACUGCAUGAAUAAGGAAUUACUAGUAAUCGUGAGUCACCACAUCACGGUGAAUUUAAUCUCAGAUAGGUACUAACCACUCGUCAGGCGCUGAAAGAAGUGCGUGCAAUAAGUUUGGCUCUUUAAUAAAUCUUCCUAUUAAUAAUUAGUUAAUAUUUAGAUCUAGUUAAUAGUUCUAUAAGAUACUUUAUUAAACAGUCUUCGUAUGCGUGACUUUGAUUGGUGUUAAGUCGAAAUAUGGUUCGUGUAGCGGAAGUUGCACGGGAAUAAUAAACAU
rnacentral:rRNA from 1 species